UACGUAGGGUGCAAGCGUUUAAUCGGAAUUACUGGGCGUAAAGCGUGCGCAGGCGGCUUUGACAAGACAGAUGUGAAAUCCCCGGGCUUAACCUGGGAACUGCAUUUGUGACUGCAUGGCUGGAGUGCGGCAGAGGGGGAUGGAAUUCCGCGUGUAGCAGUGAAAUGCGUAGAGAUCCGGAGGAACACCGACGGCGCAGGCAGCGUCCUGGCCGCUUGCUGACACUGAGGCACGAAAGCUGGGGGAGCAAACAGGAUUAGACUAC
rnacentral:rRNA from 1 species